rnacentral:rRNA from 1 species
UACGUAGGGGGCAAGCGUUGUCCGGAAUUAUUGGGCGUAAAGAGCGUGUAGGCGGCCGCACAGGUCCGUUGUGAAAACUGGAGGCUUAACCUUCAGACGUCGAUGGAAACCGUGCGGCUAGAGUCCGGAAGAGGAGAGUGGAAUUCCUGGUGUAGCGGUGAAAUGCGCAGAUAUCAGGAAGAACACCCGUGGCGAAGGCGGCUCUCUGGGACGGUACUGACGCUGAGACGCGAAAGCGUGGGGAGCGAACAGG